rnacentral:lncRNA from 1 species
UCUUCUCCCGCAACCUGGGACGCGUUCAUCCCUGGCUGGCGGACGGCGGUGCGCGGAGCAGCAGGCGUUGCAGAAACUGAGGCCCCGAGAGUACAGUGACUUCUCAUACUGCAGUCUGGACAGAGGAUCCAAGAUGGCUGAUGAGAAAUCCCCCAGGAGGUGGGGCAGCCCUGGUGUUCACAGCUCCAGCUGGCUAUGGAGAGGGCAUCGCUGGAUAGAACUGAGAUGGUGCCAGGCUCCUGAGGCUCUGAUGCCCAACCUGGCCUGCUCUGGCUGUUAGUUUCGCCGGACUGGAUGCCACAUGGACACAGGCCUGCGUAGUGUGGCCAGCAUCUGGUUCCAAUGUGUGGUGCCCAUGCCACUGACCCCUGGCCCAAUGAUGACAUGGCCCACGUUGUCCCCACGGCCGUCGCUGCUGCUCUCAGCCACUGUCACCCGGAGAGACAGGUCCUGGGAAGAAGGUGACAUGAAAGAUUGGGACCAGGAGCAGCUAAAGGGUUCUCCCUGGCUCCAAGGCUCCAAGGCCCUGUGAGGUGCAUACAGCUAUUUGAAUCUUCCCAUCUGGCUUGGGAGGAGAGACUUGUCCUAGUUACUUCCAGAUGGAUAAGCCAGCUAUGAUGUGACCUCGCUAAGUGCUAAAAAGUGACAGUCCCAGCAGGAUUCAAAAUCCAUCUCUCAGUUCUCUGUCCCUCGACAUUUUUUUCUUUAAGAUUUAUUUUUGAGUUUGAAAAGAUGGGUCAGCAAUUAAACACACUUGCUGUUCUUGCAGAGAACCUUGGUUUGAGUCCCAGCAUCUGUACAUCGACUCAGUCACCUGAGGCUAUCUGAACUCUCUCUGUGGGCGUCUGGCAUGCAUGUUAUGCACAUACAUACAUGCAAGCAAAAUGCUCAAACACUUAAAAUAAUAAAAACCUU